CGGGCCGGCCGAGCCCCGCCCGGCCCAGGCGCUAUUCUUCGCCCGGCGGCGGGAAUCCUCGCCGCCCGCGCCCGGCCGCCCCUGCGCGUGAAUGGCCGAGCGCCGCCGCCGUCUGUGGCGCUUUGUGUCCGGGCCGGGCCAGCUGGGCCCGCGAGGGACGUGCCAGCCCGGCCGGCGGCGCCCCCGCGCCGGCGCCCCUCGCCCAUGCUAAUCAGCCUGGCAGCAGCGCGUCUGGGCAGGCGGCCCCUGCCAGGGGCACCCCCACCAGACUCCCCCCGCUGCCAGGAGCCCCUCCUCUCCAGCUGCCAGCAGUGCCCCCUGGCCCUGGAGAAAGGCAGAGAUCCGUGGUGGGGGAGGCCUGGAACCCUGGGGCCGGGGGCUCUCUGCCAGCCUCAGUUUCCCCUCAGGUUGAGCCAGCCUCCCCACCAACCCCACCCCAGUCUGGCCUCCCUGCCACCCUCCUGCCCUGUGCCCAGGGACCAUCCCCCCCGGCCAGGCCAAAUUUGGGUUUGUGCUCUGGUGUUGAGGAGCCCCCCCGCGGAUGCAGGGUUUGGCACUGGGAGCUGCCCCAUCACCGCCCUGGUCUCAGGGGGUUAAAUCACCCGUAACCAGGACUGGGCACUUGGUGUGGGCAGGAGCUGAGUCCCACAGCACAGUAGCACUCAGGGAAGGGUGUCUGCCAGCCGGGGGUGGGGGAGCAGUGGGGGCAGGCAGGACAUCCAGCCCUUGCCCUGCUUGGAAAGAGGCGCGGGGCCUUUCUUGGGGGGCCCCCUGGGUGCCGCUCCCCCCCUCACCGUCUCCCCGGGUUGUCCCUGGGGGCCAGGGAGGCACCUAUAGGCUGGGCAGCCGAGCUCCCUGCGGCCUCCGCCUCAGGCCAGGGCCCUCAGUCAGGGUCUGGCCUGGGAGCCGGCUGGAUCCAAGUGCAGGCCCCUGCCAGCCCCUGUCCCGGUGUGGCCCCGUGUGCGAGGUGCGCACCGUUGCUGUAGGUUUACGGGGGAGCCUGGAUGCCCGUCCUCUGCGUCCGGCCUGUCUCGCUCACUUCAGUUUCCUGUGUGGCCCUCAUCCCCGUCCCCCUCGGCAGGGUCUCUUACUGGCUGUUCACCACCAGCCCAGCUCCGUCCUGCACACAGAGCCCCUGCGUGUGGAAAGCCCUCCCCGGGCUGCCCCUGGCUUCUCCACCCACCUCUCACCAGCAAGCACAUCCUGCAAGGACCCGGCUCAGGUGCUGCCUCCUCCAGGAAGCCGCCUGGAUCCUUCCCUCUUCCUGCCCGUCUGGAUAUGCACGCCAUGCUGAGGAAUUCGGCAACAAACCUAAGAGCACCAGGGAGCCGUGCAGGCUCUAAGUAGGGAGUGGGCGCCUGAUGGCUCCCGAGAGGCCCAGCGGGGAGCGCGCAGUCGGGGACGCACGGGCCAUCAGAUGUCAAAGGAAAUACUGCAGGAGCGCCUGGAGAUGGCCAGCUAUUUCCACCUGCCCGGGCCCUUAGAAAAAUAAUGUCAACGCUCCCUUUUGCAGGAGCAGGUUUUAAGCAGAAGAACGCAGGAAGACCAUCUUUGGGCAAAGGCCGGUGCACGCCGCAUGACCAGGGCCUUUGAGAGCUGCCGGUUUGUCGCCACAUCCUGGUCACUCUCGUGGUGACCGUGGCUGGGCCCCAGCGGGGACGGGGACGCCGCAAGGACCCUGACCACUUUACAACAGACACAGCGUGACUCACGCCCACGGCAGCCCCUGCGCUGUCCAGAAGCUCACAGCCUGGUUUGGCUCAAGGCAAAGACAUGGAGCCCGAAUCCAAAGGCAGGAAGAGCUUGUCAAGGCCGGGGCAUCCACUCUGCAACGGCAUCCGAGUCCUCUGCCCAUCCGUAUCCUGCACAGCCUGCUGCUAGCUGUAGAACUCUUCACGUGUUCUAUGAGACCCUUUAUUUUACAUAUUUAUAGACACAUGCAGUCCUCUGUUCGACUCAUUUACUUAAACACUCGCUGAUUUUUAAAUCUGGAAAAUAUGUAAAGAGAAAAAGGGUGUGGCUACAAGAA